rnacentral:rRNA from 1 species
CUGGCGGCGUGCUUACACAUGCAAGUCGAACGAGAAAUCUUUAGCUUGCUAGAGAAUGUAAAGUGGCGCACGGGUGAGUAACGCGUGGGUAAUCUGCCUCCGAAUCGGGGAUAACAUUGCGAAAGCGAUGCUAAUACCGGAUAAAAUCUGGUUGGCUUCGGUGAACCGGAUCAAAGGUGGUCUCUUUAUAAAAGCUACCGUUUGGAGAUGAGCUCGCGUACCAUUAGCUAGUUGGUGAGGUAAAGGCUCACCAAGGCGACGAUGGUUAGCUGGUCUGAGAGGAUGAUCAGCCACACCGGAACUGGAACACGGUCCGGACUCCUACGGGAGGCAGCAGUGAGGAAUUUUGCGCAAUGGGGGAAACCCUGACGCAGCAACGCCGCGUGAGUGAUGAAGGCUUUCGGGUCGUAAAGCUCUGUCAGGUGGGAAGAACCCACCAAGUGUUAAGACCACUUGGUGCUGACGGUACCACCGAAGGAAGCACCGGCUAACUCCGUGCCAGCAGCCGCGGUAAUACGGGGGGUGCGAGCGUUAUUCGGAAUCAUUGGGCGUAAAGGGCGCGCAGGCGGUUUUGUAAGUCAGAUGUGAAAUCCCGGGGCUUAACCCCGGAAGUGCAUAUGAAACUAUGAGACUUGAGUAUGGGAGAGGGAAGCGGAAUUCCUGGUGUAGCGGUGAAAUGCGUAGAUAUCAGGAGGAACACCGGUGGCGGAGGCGGCUUCCUGGACCAAUACUGACGCUGAGGCGCGAAGGCGUGGGGAGCGAACCAGGAUUAGAUACCCUGGUAGUCCACGCAGUAAACGUUGAUCACUAGGUGUAGCGGGUAUUGACCCCUGCUGUGCCGGAGUUAACGCAUUAAGUGAUCCGUCUGGGGAGUACGAUCGCAAGAUUANACUCAAAGGAAUUGACGGGGGCCCGCACAAGCGGUGGAGCAUGUGG